GUCUUCGGAUGCUGACGAGUGGCGAACGGGUGAGUAAUACAUCGGAACGUGCCCGAUCGUGGGGGAUAACGGAGCGAAAGCUUUGCUAAUACCGCAUACGAUCUACGGAUGAAAGCAGGGGACCGCAAGGCCUUGCGCGGACGGAGCGGCCGAUGGCAGAUUAGGUAGUUGGUGGGAUAAAAGCUUACCAAGCCGACGAUCUGUAGCUGGUCUGAGAGGACGACCAGCCACACUGGGACUGAGACACGGCCCAGACUCCUACGGGAGGCAGCAGUGGGGAAUUUUGGACAAUGGGCGAAAGCCUGAUCCAGCCAUGCCGCGUGCAGGAUGAAGGCCUUCGGGUUGUAAACUGCUUUUGUACGGAACGAAAAGACUCCUUCUAAUAAAGGGGGUCCAUGACGGUACCGUAAGAAUAAGCACCGGCUAACUACGUGCCAGCAGCCGCGGUAAUACGUAGGGUGCGAGCGUUAAUCGGAAUUACUGGGCGUAAAGCGUGCGCAGGCGGUUAUGUAAGACAGAUGUGAAAUCCCCGGGCUCAACCUGGGAACUGCAUUUGUGACUGCAUAGCUAGAGUACGGUAGAGGGGGAUGGAAUUCCGCGUGUAGCAGUGAAAUGCGUAGAUAUGCGGAGGAACACCGAUGGCGAAGGCAAUCCCCUGGACCUGUACUGACGCUCAUGCACG
rnacentral:rRNA from 1 species